CAUCUAUAGCAUUAGCUAAGAGAACGAAACUAACUAUAUAUUCAGUUCAGUGUUGUUUUGGUUUGUAUCAUGAUUUUUAUGCGGAGACUGUAAAGAAAAGGAGAGAGUUCGCUCCAUGGUGCUCUCAAGUAAUCAACUCGGGAUUUCAAGCUACUAUGAUUUAUCCGGCUAAAAUUAAAAUCUUUCAUAAUUCUAAGACAAUACUACUUGAUAAAAUAGAGGAUGUUAAGCAGUUUAUGGAAAAUACUAAGGUAUAAUUGACUUAUGAAUAGAAUCAACUAUAUGUCUAACAGGAUAAGGCACUUGGUAUAUCUUUUCCUUUUUGUUUUUUCGCUCUCUUUUUCCAUUGUUAAAUCCAUCCUUUUUUUGGCUACAGAAAAUAUCAAUAAAUUAAAAAUGUGAUUAAUUUUCUCUCUUGGAAUGUGGGGAGAAUCUCCUCCCCAAUCAAGAGGAAAAAGAUAACACACUAUCUCAAAAAAUCCAAA